UCUUUGGGGGUGGGGAUAGAAUGCUAGUCGUGCGCCUCCUAGCCACGCUGGAGGCGCAGCGCACAGCUCAGUAACACGUGGCUAACCUACCCUUGGGACGGGAACACCCCCGGGAAACUGGGGCUAAUUUCCGAUAGGUGAAGACUCCUGGAAUGGAUUUUCGCCUAAAAGGCGUUUAGAGCAUGCUUCUAGACGUUGCCCAAGGAUGGGGCCGCGGCCGAUCAGGUUGUUGGUGAGGUAAUGGCCCACCAAGCCUUUAACCGGUACGGGCCGUGGGAGCGGUAGCCCGGAGAUGGGCACUGAGACAAGGGCCCAGGCCCUACGGGGCGCAGCAGUCGCGAAAACUUCGCAAUAAGCGAAAGCUUGACGGGGCCAUCCCGAGUGCCAUCUGCUGAGGAUGGCUUUUACCCAGUAUAGAUAGCUGGGAGAAUAAGGAGAGGGCAAGUCUGGUGUCAGCCGCCGCGGUAAUACCAGCUCUCCGAGUUGUAGGGAUGUUUAUUGGGCCUAAAGCAUCCGUAGCCGGCUGGACAAGUCCCCUGUUAAAUCCAGCGACCAAUCGUUGGUCUGCGGGGGAUACUGUCCGGCUAGGGGGCGGGAGAGGCCGUCGGUAUUCCUGGGGUAGGGGUGAAAUCCUAUAAUCCCAGGAGGACCACCAGUGGCGAAGGCUGUCGGCUAGAACGCGCCCGACGGUGAGGGAUGAAAGCUGGGGGAGCGAACCGGAUUAGAUACCCGGGUAGUCCCAGCUGUAAACGAUGCAGGCUAGGUGUUAGGGCGGCUACGUGCCGCUCUAGUGCCGCAGGGAAGCUGUUAAGCCUGCCGCCUGGGGAGUACGGCCGCAAGGCUGAAACUUAAAGGAAUUGGCGGGGGAGCACCACAAGGGGUGAAGCUUGCGGUUUAAUUGGAUUCAACGCCGGG
rnacentral:rRNA from 1 species